ACGCCGACGCGGCGCCUAUCUGCUCCGCCAGCCGCGCCCACUCCCCUCUGUGCCCCACCGGUGGAGGAAUGCAUGAAACAGAGGUCCCCGAUUGGAUCGAUCCGACCAAUGCUUGUAGAGUAGUGAUUGAUGUAUCUUCCUACUCAACUGUUGAGGAGGAUCGAUCCGUGUA